rnacentral:rRNA from 1 species
CCUACGGGUGGCAGCAGUGGGGAAUAUUGCGCAAUGGGCGAAAGCCUGACGCAGCGACGCCGCGUGAGGGAUGGAGGUCUUCGGAUCGUAAACCUCUGUCAGCAGGGAAGAACGGUCACUGUGCUAAUCAGCAGUGAAUUGACGGUACCUGCAUAGGAAGCAACGGCUAACUCCGUGCCAGCAGCCGCGGUAAUACGGAGGGUGCGAGCGUUAAUCGGAUUUAGUGGGCGUAAGGCGCUCGUAGGCGGUAUGUCAGGGCAAGGGUGAAAUCCCCGCGCUCACCGUGGGAACUGCCUUUGAAACUGGCAAACUGGAGUGUGUGAGAGGAUAGUGGAAUUUCAGGUGUAGCAGUGAAAUCCGUAGAUAUCUGGAGGAACAUCAGUUGCGAAGGCGACUAUCUGGCACAUAACUGACGCUGAGGAGCGAAAGCGUGGGUAGCAAACAGGAUUAGAUACCCUUGUAGUC